rnacentral:rRNA from 1 species
GACGAACGCUGGCGGCGUGCUUAACACAUGCAAGUCGAACGGAAAGGCCCUGCUUGCAGGGUACUCGAGUGGCGAACGGGUGAGUAACACGUGGGUGAUCUGCCCUGCACUUCGGGAUAAGCCUGGGAAACUGGGUCUAAUACCGGAUAGGAGCCAUUUUUAGUGUGAUGGUUGGAAAGUUUUUUCGGUGUAGGAUGAGCUCGCGGCCUAUCAGCUUGUUGGUGGGGUAAUGGCCUACCAAGGCGGCGACGGGUAGCCGGCCUGAGAGGGUGGACGGCCACAUUGGGACUGAGAUACGGCACAGACUCCUACGGGAGGCAGCAGUGGGGAAUAUUGCACAAUGGGCGCAAGCCUGAUGCAGCGACGCCGCGUGGGGGGUGACGGCCUUCGGGUUGAAAACUCCUUUCGCUAGGGACGAAGCUUUUUGUGACGGUACCUAGAUAAGAAGCACCGGCUAACUACGUG